CCAGCAGUAGAUGCUGAUUAGGAAAAUAUACCCUCAGUCACACUCUACUUACUGAUCUUCAUUCUUUCAUUUUGCAGAUAUGAACUGAGUACUUAUUUGUACUAGAAACUAGAGAUAGAAUCCCAGAUAGCGUCACUCAUCCUUCACAAUGUCACUCAGAAGUCAUCAGUUCUAUGAUGAAUUUUUUCAUUGCUGCCCCCUUGGCAGAGUCAGUUAUGCCCUCCCUGAUGCUCUUGCUCUUCACAGGUUUAUCCUAAUGUCUCCUCAUCCUUCUCCCUAACUUACUAUGAGCUCCUGGAGGACAGGUAUUGUAUCUUGCUUAUCUUGGCCUCCCCAGAUACAAACAGCAGGCACAGACAAAGCACUUACAAACCUUUGUUGAAUAAAUAUGUGAAUGAUGAGUUAAUUAUUUGAUUAGUUAAUUACUGCAUAUGCUCCUAAUCCUGUGGGGAUUUUUGCAAACUAUCAAGGGAAAUAAACCCAUAAAUAACUAGCUGGAACACAGUGUGAUCCACGGAGUGACAGCCAUGUGAGCAAAGAGCUGGUGAGCGCAUUGGAAGGUAGCAUAUGUUCAACCAGAAGACAGAAUUCUUAAAAUUGUUAAAGAUAUACUUUGCUAUUUUAAAUCUAAAUCCUGCUCCCUAUGGCUUCUAUUCACCCAUUCUUAGUUCUUCAUUCUUGAACAGCCUCAAAUAAAUCUACCUACUACUCUAGCAUCUGGGAUGAUUCCUGACAACACAUAAGGCAUUCAGUAAAUAUUUCUGAAAAGAAUGAAUUGCUUCUUCUCUGCCAUGCAGCAAUAUCAGUGUGUAAAAAUAAAUAUCUUAUCCUCCUAUUUGAUAUUCUCCGCUGAUGGCUGCACCAUUGUGAGAACUGAAAUACUUUAUUGUUGAUAAUUGCCUGAGUUUGAAUGUCUGCAUCCCCCAAAGACCAAUUGAAAAUUGAUUGUUUGGAACCUGAAUCACAUUUGCUUUUAGGUAAAAUGUAAUAAAUGAUGCAUGCCUUCUAGGCUAGCAUGCAGUAGUUGAACUAGUGGAUUCUCAUGCUGGCCCGGGGUUCAGGAGUCAGAAACCUAACAAGACUUGCAUUCUUCAUUUGAACUGUGAGUUGGGCCUUGAUCCUUAGUACUCUCCAUUGUGAAACGUGAGUUGGGCCCUGGGAAAAAUUGGGUCAUAUUGGUCUUUGACCCCUCCCUGCCAUCUCUCUUCCUUCCUCUCCUCUCCUGUUCCUCUGUGGGCUGCUCCCGCAGGAUGGCUGCUACAGCUACAGUGGCCAUGAAAAUGUACCACUCAGAUCUCUUGCACAUGGAGACCAUAAACUGAUAGACACUCCCAGCUGUCCUGCUCCAAAUCCAUGACAGCGUAUGCUCUGCUCUGGGCUUUGCUUCCCAGCAAAAUAAUUGAGCACAAGAUUCUAAGGUAGAUCCAUUCCUGUGAGAUACUGGAUAAGUUGCUCUAAAACCCUCCAUCACUGGUGAAACUUCCCUAGCACUGUGCUGCAGUCUGAGACUCUGUCUUUCAAACCCUGCUUCCUUUCCACUCUCCUUCUCAGCAUCAGACCUGUCUUGCGGUCUGACAGCACUUCCUGCCUCCUCUGAUUCCUCUCCUGUUCCCCUCACAGACACUUCCUCAAUAAAUCUCCUGUAUGUAUAAUACAAGCUUGGCUGCUGCUUCUUGGAGGACCAAGAGUAACACAUCUGUGAUCUGGAGAUUGCACAUAGGAAACAUGCAGAAGGGUGACUUCCCCAACCCCAACAACUGGGAAGUCUAAUACUUCCUUAUUUGAAGAGGAGGAGAAAGAAUGAUUGGCCAGUGAAUGAAGGAAGUAUUGACUGGAUCAGGAAGAACUGGAUCUACCUAACAGAGCUGAAAAAGAUCCAAGGUUCUAUACAAGCCAUCAGCACACACUGUCUGUCUCUCAAAAUGUCAAAGCCAAAUAAAUGAUCUGCUGUUCCCCACUUCCUGACUAAUAUUUGAGACUAUUUCUUGUUUUGUUUUACUUCAUUUCCAUGUUAAAUUUACUUUGAAGAUUCACUUUGAUCUGAUUUUACAAGGAAAGAAACGCAAGUGGAAAGAAAAGAUUUCCAGCACAAUUUCCCUGAAUUUCUGCCCCUCUGCCUCCUACCACUAUCCAUGCAUCCAGGCCAGAAUGAGGCAGGCACAUGUCAGCCUGGGGCAUAGAAUAGGCUGAGUCUGCAAUAUCACAUCAUGUCCAUGAGAUGCCCUCUUCCAGAGAGCUCCAGUGCCAUCUGGCUUCGGGGAGACUGGGGACAGGGGAGCGUCAUGGAGACAGAUGAGGGAGUGUCGUGCUGAUUUAUGCACCUGGAAAAGCGUGAUGAAGGAGAGCUGUAGCUCACCUACUAACAAGGAGGGGAAGGCAAAGAGGUGUGGACCAAUGAGCUCUCAUCGUCCCUGGCUGACCUCUGACUUGGAUACUGAGGCCCUCAGAGGAACCAAGUCCCCUGCAGACAAAAUGAGACUGGGCUCAAGAACUGGUAGGAUGUUCAGAGAAGAGAAAGCUACCAGGAAAACAGCUUCUUAUUAACAACUUCUUGGGAGUAGAAGUGUAUGUGUGGUAUGGUUAUGUUUCAUUUGUCUAAAUAUUGUUUCCACAAGAGACCUUA